rnacentral:rRNA from 1 species
AGACCCGAAACCCGGUGAUCUAGCCAUGGGCAGGUUGAAGGUUGGGUAACACUAACUGGAGGACCGAACCGACUAAUGUUGAAAAAUUAGCGGAUGACCUGUGGCUGGGGGUGAAAGGCCAAUCAAACCGGGAGAUAGCUGGUUCUCCCCGAAAGCUAUUUAGGUAGCGCCUCGUGAAUUCAUCUCCGGGGGUAGAGCACUGUUUCGGCUAGGGGGCCAUCCCGGCUUACCAACCCGAUGCAAACUGCGAAUACCGGAGAAUGUUAUCACGGGAGACACACGGCGGGUGCUAACGUCCGUCGUGAAGAGGGAAACAACCCAGACCGCCAGCUAAGGUCCCAAAGUCAUGGUUAAGUGGGAAACGAUGUGGGAAGGCCCAGACAGCCAGGAUGUUGGCUUAGAAGCAGCCAUCAUUUAAAGAAAGCGUAAUAGCUCACUGGUCGAGUCGGCCUGCGCGGAAGAUGUAACGGGGCUAAACCAUGCACCGAAGCUGCGGCAGCGAACGUAUCACCCAAGACAACUUUACGGAGUUGACGAUUGACGGAGCGAAGCGACGUCAAAGCGUUCAUUAAAGUCGAGUUGGCUUAGGGAUACGUUCGUUGGGUAGGGGAGCGUUCUGUAAGCCUGUGAAGGUGUGUCGUGAGGCAUGCUGGAGGUAUCAGAAGUGCGAAUGCUGACAUAAGUAACGAUAAAGCGGGUGAAAAGCCCGCUCGCCGGAAGACCAAGGGUUCCUGUCCAACGUUAAUCGGGGCAGGGUGAGUCGACCCCUAAGGCGAGGCCGAAAGGCGUAGUCGAUGGGAAACGGGUUAAUAUUCCCGUACUUGGUGUUACUGCGAAGGGGGGACGGAGAAGGCUAUGUUGGCCGGGCGACGGUUGUCCCGGUUUAAGCGUGUAGGUGUGUGUUCCAGGUAAAUCCGGUUCACUUUAACACUGAGGCGUGACGACGAGGCACUACGGUGCUGAAGCAACAAAUGCCCUGCUUCCAGGAAAAGCCUCUAAGCAUCAGGUAACAUCAAAUCGUACCCCAAACCGA